CAACAGGAAGCGUCACUGUCGCUAAAAACAUUGGAGCAGGAAAAAAAGUGCAACAAAAACGCUGUCGAACACGAAGCUACAGGAAUGUUUUCCUAUUUUUAAGAAAAUGUGUUGAUUUGUGAGAUAAUAUAUAUUUUUAUUUUUAUAUAUAUAUAUAUAAUCCACAACUUGUCUUCAUUUGAUCGUCAUCCAUCUUGAAAACGGUCGAGUUUGCGUCACUAGCAGCCCUCGAUAGAUAGCUUUGUGUUGACCAAAAUGGAUGACAGCAAGAUGGUGGGAGGUAAAGUGAAGAAACCCGGUAAACGAGGCCGUAAACCCGCUAAAAUUGAUCUGAAAGCCAAGUUGGAGAGGAGUCGUCAGAGCGCCCGUGAGUGCCGAGCCAGGAAGAAACUCCGGUAUCAGUAUCUGGAGGAACUCGUGUCCAGCAAGGAGAGGGCCAUCUGCGCCCUGAGGGAAGAGUUGGAGAUGUACAAGCAGUGGUGUACAGCCAUGGACCAGGGGAAGAUCCCGUCUGAGAUAAAGGCUCUACUGACGGGAGACGAACAGAACUCCUCCACCAAGACCUCGAAGAACAGCAACCAGAGCUGAUGUGUUGGCGGCGCCACACCAGAACUAGUCCGACUGUCCGUUUUUUGUUUUGAGGUGACAGACCCGGGUGAUAUUCAUUAUGGGGGGAAAUUAUAUCAAACGUUGUGCAACAGAAAACAAGGGUGUUCGUGUGUAAUACCUACCAGCUCCCCACUUUUUUUAUUCGUCCUGUUUGCUUCCGUUUGUUGCCCUAGUGAAUAUGCCCCAGAGCGAGUCUGUCUGUCUGCUGGAAGGUUCCAGCGCUAGGCAGCAGGUACUCCGUCCAUCAUGCCAGAACGCUCCACUGUAUAAGGCCUCUGUGACGGAGAGUGAAGCGGUGUCUCACCGGUCUGUCUGUUUCAGCCCCCCCCCGUCCUCCGUCCUCUAGAGGAGACGUACAGCAACAGAACUGUCUGAGAUACAUAUCAUUACUAACGCUGGGGGGGGGGGACGACCUUCAGAGUAAUAGUUCAUAUUAUUUACAGUCGUAAUCCACCUGACUGGCCUGAUUUUUAUCAUGAGUGGUUCACUAUCGCAACACUCGGAUUCGUUAAUGUUAAUCAUGUCAAAUAUGUUAUUUAGUUACAGCUAUAGACCGCCUGUAUUUAGGUACAGCUAUAGACAGCCUGUAUUUAGUUACAGCUAUAGACAGCCUGUAUUUAGUUACAGCUAUAGACAGCCUGUAUUUAGUUACAGCUAUAGACAGCCUGUAUUUAGUUACAGCUAUAGACAGCCUGUAUUUAGUUACAGCUAUAGACAGCCUGUAUUUAGUUACAGCUAUAGACAGCCUGUAUUUAGUUACAGCUAUAGACAGCCUGUAUUUAGUUACAGCUAUAGACAGCCUGUAUUUAGUUACAGCUAUAGACAGCCUGUAUUUAGUUACAGCUAUAGACAGCCUGUAUUAUUGCACAGUUUUAUUUACAUUUCCUUGUCUCAAAUGUUUUAGCUUCUACGUGUGAGAAUCGAGGAAGCGUUUAAUGGUAUAUGGAUGUGAACCCAAGACGGAAGAAGUGAAAGGGUUUUAAGGCUGUGCAUUCAUCCAAAACAAAAGCAAUUACUCUUAUUUGACUUGUAUUGGUUAUGACUCCGUUUUGUAUCUGGAGCAGAACUAUGCCAACAUCCCAAAUGGCACUCCGUUCCCUAAAGUAGUGCACUAUGUAGGGAAUAGGGUCCCAUAGGGCCCUGGUCUAAAGUAGUGCACUAUAUAGGGCACCAUUGGGGGACAUAGAUGUGGUCUAAAGUAGUGCACUAGAUAGGGCACCAUUGGGGGACAUAGAUGUGGUCUAAAGUAGUGCACUAGAUAGGGCACCAUUGGGGGACAUAGAUGUGGUCUAAAGUAGUGCACUAGAUAGGGCACCAUUGGGGGACAUAAAUGUGGUCUAAAGUAGUGCACUAGAUAGGGCACCAUUGGGGGACAUAGAUGUGGUCUAAAGUAGUGCACUAGAUAGGGCACCAUUGGGGACAUAGAUGUGGAAAUCUAUCCUGAAUCUACAGAGGUGAUGCUGUAACGACACACAGCACUAUAUGUUGAAUAUGUUGGAUUUAUUGUUUAUAUAUAUAUAUAUUUAUUAUUGGAUCACAGAAAGACCUCCCCCCCCCCCCCCUGGUUUUGUAGUGUGAUGUUAUAGAAGGUAUAAAAGGUCUGACGGGCAGAGAGAAAUGCUAUUUGUCAUUUUGUAAAGAUGUUCAAGUGUCUUGUUUGUGUGAAAGGCUAGAAUGGGGACACGUCCUUCCCAGAACAGAGC
rnacentral:lncRNA from 1 species